AUGAAGACAACACCUUUGAGCACCUACGCAGGAAGUAGAGAUAGUAUAUACUCUAUAUCUCAGGGAAUACCCGCGUCGAAGGAGGAGGAAGCAGAGGCUGGCAACAAGGAGCGGGUGUGGGUGCUCAUCCUCGCCGCUGACCACAAGUGCUGCGAGAAACUUUGGGCAGAAUUUGCUGCCUCCACUGGGCUACUCGUUGUCACCUCAUUCAUCUACGCUUGGUGGUUUAGUGUCCUCUUUAGUUAG
rnacentral:rRNA from 1 species